ensembl:snRNA U6 U6 spliceosomal RNA
UUGUUUCAACAGCACAUACACUAAAAUUGGAACAAUACAGAGAAGAUUAGCAUGGCCCAUAUGUAAGAACAACACACAAAUAUGUGAAGCACUCCAUAAAUUU